ACCAGCCGCGGUAAUUCCAGCUCCAAUAGCGUAUAUUAAAGUUGUUGCAGUUAAAAAGCUCGUAGUUGAAUUUCGGGGUUCUACCGUUGGUCGGGCUUUGUCUGUACUGGCGUGUAGAAUUUCUACCUUCUGGGGAACCAUCAUGUUAUUAAUUUAACGUGGUGGGAAACCAGGACCUUUACCUUGAAAAAAUUAGAGUGUUCAAAGCAGGCUUAUGUCUGAAUACAUUAGCAUGGAAUAAUAAAAUAGGACGGUGGUCCUGUUUUGUUGGUUUCUGAAUCACCGUAAUGAUUAAUAGGGAUAGUUGGGGGCAUUAGUAUUCAAUUGUCAGAGGUGAAAUUCUUGGAUUUAU
rnacentral:rRNA from 1 species